rnacentral:lncRNA from 10 species
AAGACUGCAACAUCCCCUCACGCCUAGUCUGUAAAGAACUUUGUUUAACCCGGAGGCGGGGCCAGCCAGCUCCGCCCCUCCAGCUGGACGCGGGAGCGAGGUUGAGGUUCAUACCCCUGGGUUCUCUCCAGGCCUGAGGCGGAGAGCCAGCCGCCUGCCUACCUCUGGGCUUUGAACCCCGGGUCUGGUGACUUCGCUUAAAGACCUCGGGCCGAAGGCCCGCCAGGCUCAACCUCGGUUCACAGGACCCCCGACUUGUGUGAGUCGUACACCGCUCUUUACCGUCUCUGGACCUAGGUCAUCUCGGCAGUAAAAUGGGGUGAAAUGACCCGACCUCCCCGGAGGAUGCCGCGCACGAUGUGUGCCUCAAGUUGGCUUCCACUGACCUGAACUGUUAAGAAAGCCCUCCUCAGUGACGCCUUCCCUGAAUCCACAGUGGAGAUUGCCGUUUUCCUGGAACUAAUUCACCCACACUUACCCAUUUCAUCCCUUUCCACCUUUUAUUUCUACCUUUCUGCCCCACUGAUCUCUAGAAUAGGUGCUGGGAGACGUUAGAGUAUUUGAUCUCCCACUCCCCAGUCAUCCCACUUACCGAGCAGUAAUUCUCUGCCUGGCUGCACAUUGCAAUCACUUGGGAAGCCUCUAAAAAUACUGAUGCCAGGGCUCUACCCCAAGCCAGUUAAAAUCUCCAGCGCUGGACCUGGGCAUUGGUACUUUUUGUAAAGCUUUCAGGUCAAGGAAGAGCAAGACUGAAAAUGUUUACCAGAUUUAUAAUCGAGGAGGUCCUGGAUGACCUUGGCAAAAGCAACCCCAAUGGCAUGGGAAUGAAUGUAGGGACUCAGUAAUAGUUCACUCCCCCUCAUUAAAGUAUUACAAUGAAACAAAACUUAAAAGAUUUUUUUUAAAUGAAUUUAAUCUCUCUCUAGAAACAGUGCACUGAUUUUACAAAUGUCCACAUUUGGUUUUCAGUUUACCAAGAUGAUGCCAGUAUAGCUAGUGAGAUGCAGCACCCCAUCCUCAGCCCCCUCGCCUCUGGAAGAGACACCAGACUGCAAAGGGCACCGCGUACAGAAGCUAACGGAACUUGAAUGACAAGACAAAAAGAGCAGAAUCAGUUAGUGUGACACAACAUUCUAACAUGCCUGAUUCUUACAUCAAAUAUGGUAACUUUGGGGUUGGUAGGGGGAGACAAACAAGGAGAAUCCACUUGGGAACAAUUUGAUGAAGUUUGCAAAUCAGCACUUUACCCCCAAAUUAACAACAGCUUGUAUGGAAAAAAAAAUGCUCUUUUAAAAGUAUAUGGUUUGGACAGGUAUAUUUGUUUUCUCUUGUAGUUUUUGUAAAAAAGUAUCAAAACCUUGGCUUUAAAUAUAUAUAUAUAUAUAUAUAUACACACACACACACGUGGCUUUUUAAAAAUUACUUUUUUAUAGCACAAAGUGUUUGUAAAUGCAGAGGGUUUCUGCUAAUUCUUGACUGUGCACAUGGUGCAUAGCCUGAAUGAACAGAGCUUCCUGAUUUUUUUUUAACUGAAAAAUUGAAGCAGUAAUUCUUUAACCUUCUAAAUUCUCCAUACCCUAAAAAUACAGUGUGAGAAGUCUGUUACUCUAUCUUCAUGCAUUUCGGGAAAAGGAAUUAUUUACUCUGAAACAUUUAAUGCUAACUCAUUUAUAUUUUGUGAAACGAUGAGUGUAUGGCUGGAGUUCGGGGGGUAGGGUGGAGAGGCUUGCAUUCCUGUGCCAUUUCCCCAUUCCCACCAGUGCCCAACUGGACAGUGAUUAGUAUCCCCUCUCCAGACUCAACGUCUUCAACAUUUUCGUUUUUCUUUCUCACAGUUGAGAAAAUCUAAGAGGCUCUCGACAACAUGGCAUGCAUCUGUGAAAAUCCCACUGCCCUUAUAUUAGUCUUCAUUGACCAUAUAAAAAAUCUUUGACUCAAAUAUAUGAAAAGCAGUCAGCAUUUCCCUUUGGCCACUGGAAAGCUUGAGGCUGAAUAAUAUCAGUUCUGCAAAGUGCUGGCAAUGCAUCCUAAUGAAUUUUCCAUGAUGCAUGUAGUGCCUUGUACACAAUGAUCAAGAAAUGCUUCAUUGAAUCAGAAAUUAAUCUAUUUUAUAAAGUGCUUACAUUGAAUCUCUUUCCAUACAGCCUCAUUUCUUGCCCCCCUUGAGCCUUUUGUUCCUGUUAGAAUGAACUGUGCAAUUCCUAAAGUCCCUGUGCUCUUUCAUACCUCUGUGUUUUAGCUCGAUGUGUCUCUGUCUGAAGCAGCUUGGAAUCCCCUUCUUAAUUUUUAAGACUUAAGGUCACUUCUAUGAUGACCCUAUUCCUCAUUUCUUAGGUGGAAAGACCCCUCUCUCCUUUGAGCCCUAACAGUGCUCUGAAUAGAAUCAAUGCCUUUUUUGUUUCCACAUAUAUCAUCCUCCACUGCUACUGUGAACUCUGUAAAGUCAGAACAUGUGUGACUGACCUUUACAUCUGCAGUGCCAGGUGUGUAGUUGGUAUCUAGUGAGUGGUUUUAGUGAAUGAAUAUACUGCAGUCAUACUGAGAUAACUGGAGGGAUCAAUAGGACUUACUGCCAUACAUUUAAAUCCGAUCUCAUUCUCUUUUUGCCAGUUAACAGGUUACUUCAAUCUGUUUUAUAAAUAAUCUGUGUAUCAAGAGUAAAUAAGUACAGUUUCGUUUUCUCUGUUUCUAGAAGGCAUUUCAGUUAGUGCCUUUGUAAUUCCACUGGAGGAAAGGUAGACCAUAGUAUAGGUAGCAGGUUUGAUACAAUGUUCAGGCAGCCCAAAAUAGUCUUCCUGCAGAAGGAAAUGGAGGAAACGCACUGGGACUGGCUUCUGAUAAAUUUUCUGCCCCCUUGGCAUUGUCUCUGAGCUUCCUUCCAGCUCUAUAGUCCAGUGACUCUGUGAUCUGUGAUUGGCUGUAGAUAGCUAUGCACGGGGGCAAAAGGCAAAAGAUAUGUAACUGUACCUCAAAAUGAGGCUGAAAAGCCUCUAUGAAUGGGGGAAGGUGGAUCUGACUCCUCAGGUUUCAUCUUAUUUACUGCCGUCCAACACAUGAAUAUAUCACAAUUUGUUUCUUGUAAAGGGUUGCUCCCAUUGCUGCCUCUUUCAAACUGCAGUUGUAGCAUAUGCAGGAAACAUGAAUGUCUCUGAGAAAAAGUUGUGAAUUUCAUUGUCAUUUUGAGAUCUCAGGCUGUAUGUCCAGACCCCAUUCAUCAUUUUUUUCUGUGAAUGCCAGGAUCUUACUGAAAGUUUAGAAACUAUGCCUUAGCCACUGUUAUCAUUUAAUUCCUUGGAAAAUUCAGUUUCUUUGGAAGGUUACAGAAAAAGUCACUUGUUUUGAGUACAUUUCCAUGUUUUUCACUGUCAUCAUUUUUCUUCAGUCAAAAAUAAUUUUACUUUCCGUUCUUAAAAGAAUAGUAAUAUGUGAGUAAGCUCCAUAGGAGUUGGCCACCUGUUCUUAAAAUUCUGUUUGGUAUUGGUCAUUCUAGGUCAACUGCAUUUACCCUCUCAAUGAAUGUUUCAGGACUAUCAACACAUGCAUGUCAUGAGGAGAUUGCUGGAUUAUGCAAAACACACUGCCCAAGCUCCAGAAUAUAGUUAUUUUCUUAGAGUUUAGGAGGCCAAGAGUGACACAGAGGAAGGUCCUAGGUACAGGAUGCUAGAACUCCAGAAUGUCUGACUGAAAAUUCAAAGGGUAUCAAGCUGGUGAGACAUCCAACUUCAUUGAGUUGGGGGCAUCUGGCAGGUAGGGAUGGGAAGGCAUUUGCUUAAGUGUGUCAAGUUCCAGGUAUGAUGAGAUUAGAUGCAGCUCCUCUGCUCCUACUUAAGUCAAACACUUCCAUGUUGCACCUUGUCCCUGGUUGUCUAGUGGGAGUAAGUGGCAGAACAGCAGAGUUAAGAAACUCAAACUCUUUCUCUUUGGAUGGGAAAGCCACUGGGGACUGAAUCCUUCUGGGACUAUAGGAUUAUGUUUCCAAUGGGAGACCCCACAAGUAGAAAAGAGCACUUCUCCCUUCCUCCCCCAAGGCCAAGAAAAGCAAAGAAGAUGUCUAUAAUGAAGAACAUCUAUACAUAUACCCGGAGUUUUUCCUUUUAUUUACAAAGCAGUAAACCAAAUUCCUGU